CCUUAUGUAUUACAUGGGUUGUGUGAAGAUUACCUCACUUGCGACAUAUGCCUUCAAUGCGAUUAUGUCUCUAAGUCGUGCCUCGACACGUGGGAGCUAUAGUCGCAUCGAGGGUGUUACAUACUGACACUCCGUCAUCACCCGCAAAAACCACUUAAGGCCAAGGAGAUGAUGUUAUCAUUACUGGCAUGGGCCACAGCUCUCCUGGCCAUCCCGUAAUCUUGGCCCAACAUAGUGCCAAAGAAGAGCAUGCUGCUAGGGAAAAGGGUAAAUGGAGUACUGACUUAUCAAGCCAUGCCCAUCUCAGUGCUGAAGAACUUCACUCCGGUUUCUUAAACCGUCUGCACUCAAACCGUGACUAUGAAGCCGGUUUGGUGAACUUGAUGAAGGGACGCUAUGAGGCCGAGCUAAGCAACAGAGAUGCUCAAACCGCUGAUUUGCAAGAGAACGUGAAGUCCCAACAAGCAGAAGCUGUGAAAGCCAAAGAGGAGCUGACCAAAGCCCAGGCAGCGAUGGAAAAGCUGAAGGAGUCUUUUAACAAGGAACGUGCUGACUGGGAAACCGAGAAGGCCGGUUUAACCAAAAAGCUGAGGAUGCCGAAGCAGCCUUGAAGCCAGUUGUAGAUGAAUUAACUGGUUUGAAGCGGCAAAUCAACGCUAUGACAUCCGCUGUAUUUGGCACUCGCAUUGCUCAUCUGGGUGCUGAUAUGCGGAUGAAGCUUAAAGCGGCUUAUACCUUGAUUGAACAGCUGUACUCUGGAUCCUAGCGUGCUAUUUGCACUGCGGCUUACAAUAAACCGGCGCCGUCACUGAUAAAAGAAACUCUUGAGAAGCUAGCCAUGCUACCAGCCCGGAUUACCGAACUGAAGAAAGCAGCUGCAAGAGCAGGAGCAUUAACCGCACUAAUCCGGGCCAAGGCAUGGAUUCCAGACCUUGAAGUGGAUGACAUUAUAAAAGGAUAUCCAGGUGUGAAGGAGGACGGCAAACUUCGACAAUGAUGAUCUCUGGAGGCUGACAAAGGAAAUGCGGCCAAUAGCCAGCAAACUGGCAGAAGACACAGAUUUAUCUCAUUUCUAGCCGGCUUAUGGCAUUGAAGGGAAGAGACAGCCUGCGGAAAUCCAUGAAGUCGAAGAACUUGUGCCUCCAAUCCGUAAGCAUACUUAUGCUCCUGACAUUAACCCUUCCAGCCUUAUCCUUGAAGAAGCCGUGUUUCAAGUUUUAACCGGAAUCGAUUGGUCAACGGUUGAUUUCCAGCGUCUGGGAAGGGAUGAAGAAGAAGUGAUUGCACCAAAUGACCCUCAACCGUCAAACCGUCCGGACGAAGCAUCUUAAACCGGCAGCCGGUUUACCAGCUAUUAUGUGCCAAUGCUUAAAAACAAUUAUUCAAUUGAAGCCACUUUAAAGCUUCUUGUAAUAGGAUAGCAAAAACUCCUUUAUCUGUCAUGCCAUUGAGCAUGUUUUGUGACGCUUUGUGAAAACUUGCUCCACUUUUUGGGAUCUAUUUAUGCAUAGCCCAUGAUGAGUUGUGUUCCUGGAUACAAGAACUUGAAAGUAUCCUCGUUGGCUGACCAACUGCUUAUAUGGUAAAGGUGUAAACACCAAUCCGGAGUAUUGAUAACUCCAUCCUUAUUUUGCCGGAUUAUGAUAAUAAACUGUACUGGAAUAUAAUGACCACCGGGUUUCUUUAUAACACUGGCGACUUGUUAGUCAAAACCAGACCGGGUUAAUGAACUCCGAAUUAAAACUGAUCAUGAACUGACAACUUGUAGUUGAAAGCCAAGCCGGGUCAAGGACACCAGUUUAUCAGAAGAUAUUAGGAACCUCAAUAAAGGCGAAAAACUUAGCAAAUAGAACUCAAAAAAAUGCGAGGCUUUUAUGAGCUGCCAGGCUCCAAAUCGAGGCUUUUCAUGGGCU